rnacentral:rRNA from 1 species
CAGCCGCCGCGGUAAUACGGAGGGAGCUAGCGUUGUUCGGAAUUACUGGGCGUAAGGCGCACGUAGGCGGCUAUUCAAGUCAGAGGUGAAAGCCCGGGGCUCAACCCCGGAACUGCCUUUGAAACUGGAUGACUGGAAUCUUGGAGAGGUCAGUGGAAUUCCGAGUGUAGAGGUGAAAUUCGUAGAUAUUCGGAAGAACACCAGUGGCGAAGGCGACUGACUGGACAAGUAUUGACGCUGAGGUGCGAAAGCGUGGGGAGCAAACAGGAUUAGAGACCCGCGUAGUCCCUGUCUCUUAUAC